rnacentral:rRNA from 1 species
UACGUAGGGGGCAAGCGUUAUCCGGAUUUACUGGGUGUAAAGGGAGCGUAGGCGGUGAUGCAAGUCAGAAGUGAAAGCCCGCAGCUCAACUGCGGGACUGCUUUUGAAACUGUAUGACUAGAUUGCAGGAGAGGUAAGUGGAAUUCCUAGUGUAGCGGUGAAAUGCGUAGAUAUUAGGAGGAACACCAGUGGCGAAGGCGGCUUACUGGACUGUAAAUGACGCUGAGGCUUGAAAGCGUGGGGAGCAAACAGG